CAGAGAAGUGGCUGGCCUGCUCUGCAGUUGGACGUUGAUCUGACCAAGGGUAACUCCCAGCUGGUGCCAGUGGGAGAAACAGUUUGAUCCUUCCUCCGUGCUCGGCUCCUUCACUUUUGGCUUGCGUGCAGCAGGAAGGCAGUUAGAAAUAGCUGUUCUUACAUGCUUAGGCUGUUUGAUUUUGGAACUUGGCGCUGGUUUUACUGGAGAUAGAAGAGCACCCACAAGCAGAGAAUGAAACAUCCUAUCCCCAGUCAGAGCUGUAACAGAAGGAAGGAGUGAAAGGGAUCAGUACGAGUGCUUACAGCUGAAGCCCUCUCAACGAAUUCCGUUCACAUUGAUGCAGACUCUGAAAACUCCAGUCCAACACACGCCACAGUCACAAAGGCAGGUGCAGUCCUCUUCAAAACCUGGAAUGGGAUGGCUUCAGUUCUCAGAGAGAAGCAAAGUUCAUCAGAGCUACGGAAGCACGGGCAAGGGAAGCAGGUACAGACCAGCUGGGAGGUAAUCACAGCUGUAUGCAGACACCACGUGCUGAAUAACAAGCAUGUCUACCAGAACUCAGGAUUCAGGUGGGUGACCUGAGAUCUGGUACUUGUAGAACAGCCAUCACAUUUUUGUACAGCUUGAAAAGGAAAGAGCACAGAUCACAUUUUUCCUCUCACUUUUGCCCCAUAUUUCCCACUUAUCUCAAGUGUCUUCAUGUUUUCAAUUUAGCAUAAAUCUAUGUAAUCUGGUCCUCACAACUUUCCAUCUCCUGCCUUUGAGAAGGAAUAAUCCACAGCCACUGCCCUUUGAUACAAAGUAGUUGCUGUAUAACAGUUUUCAGGCUUUGAUUUCUACAGAGAAAAGUAGGAAAAGAUGUUUUCAAGUUACAAAUAGACUGGACAUCACCA
rnacentral:lncRNA from 1 species